rnacentral:rRNA from 1 species
UACGUAGGGGGCGAGCGUUGUCCGGAUUUAUUGGGCGUAAAGAGCUCGUAGGCGGUUUGGUAAGUCGGGUGUGAAAUCUCCACGCUCAACGUGGAGGGGCCACUCGAUACUGCCAUGACUCGAGUCCGGUAGAGGAGUGUGGAAUUCCCGGUGUAGCGGUGAAAUGCGCAGAUAUCGGGAGGAACACCCGUAGCGAAGGCGGCACUCUGGGCCGGUACUGACGCUGAGGAGCGAAAGCGUGGGGAGCAAACAGG